UAGAAGGCCAAUGAGAGAGUGGAAGGCGACGCACGCCCAGAGCCGGGCGAGGAACGGGAAUCGAUGGGAGGAGGCAGGGGCUGAUUAACACGAAGGGCCUCUGACCCCACUCCCAUCAGCAGCGGCCUCAGUCACAUUUGUCAGAUGAAGACGGUGCUGGAGAUCGUUCAGGCCUCAGUUUACCCUUUUCCAUACCAACGGGGCGGAGAGAAACUCAGACACAAUUGGAUGCAACUUCAGACAAUUAACUACCGGCAUGACCCCAAAGGGCCAUUUAACGUCUGUCUGCCUGUCUCCUCAUCUAUAAAAUGUAACCAUCCUAGUGUAGUAAGGAUCAAAUGGGAUAAUAAUUGUAAAGGGCGAUCAAGGCUGUAUAAAUGCUGUCACUAUUACAA